rnacentral:rRNA from 1 species
UAGUCCGGAUAUACUGGGUGUAAAGGGCGUGUAGCCGGGAGGGCAAGUCAGAUGUGAAAUCCACGGGCUCAACUCGUGAACUGCAUUUGAAACUACUCUUCUUGAGUAUCGGAGAGGCAAUCGGAAUUCCUAGUGUAGCGGUGAAAUGCGUAGAUAUUAGGAGGAACACCAGUGGCGAAGGCGGAUUGCUGGACGACAACUGACGGUGAGGCGCGAAAGCGUGGGGAGCAAACAGGAUUAGAUACCCUGGUAGUCCACGCUGUAAACGAUGAAUACUAGGUGUGCGGGGACUGACCCCCUGCGAGCCGCAGCUAACGCAAUAAGUAUUCCACCUGGGGAGUACGAUCGCAAGGUUGAAACUCAAAGGAAUUGAC